ACAGUGAUGUGAAGCGAAACCCAAAAAGCAGUCACAGUUCGGAUUGAAGGCUGAAAUUCGCCUUCAUGAAGCCGGAAUUGCUAGUAAUGGCAGGUCAGCAUACUGCCGUGAAUACGUUCCCGGGCCUUGUACACACCGCCCGUCACACCAUGAGAGUUGGGGAUACCCGAAGCCUGUGACCCAACCUACGGGAGGGAGCAGCCGAAGGCAGGUCGGAUGACUGGGGUGAAGUCGUAACAAGGUAGC
rnacentral:rRNA from 1 species